GAUAAAGCAUUGAUAAAGAAGAGUAAACAAAUUACGACAGUUAAGAGAGCUGAUGGUUGGUGUGAAUCAGUCUGUAGUUAUUGUUGAAUGGGCUUUGGAGCUUUCAGGCUGAACGAAUAGUAGGCCUUGACGAAACGCCUUAUCGUUACAAAAGGCAGCGUAUCGAAAUGAUCUUUAUUUCCGUACGUCGAUAAGUGCGUUUUUUAAUAAAAACGAACAAAGGUGGUACCACGGGUCUCCCGUCCUUUUU
rnacentral:ncRNA from 1 species